UACUAGAGUAGCACUCGCAUAUCAAUAAGCGGAGGAAAAGAAACUAACAAGGAUUCCCCUAGUAACGGCGAGUGAAGCGGGAAGAGCUCAAAUUUGAAAUCUUAAAGGGUUUCCCUCUACGAAUUGUAGUUUAAAGAAGUGUUUUCUGUUGAGGUUUUGGUAAAAGUUCUUUGGAAUAGGACAUCAUAGAGGGUGAGAAUCCCGUAUUUGACCUUUACUUUCAACUUUGUGAUACACUUUCAAAGAGUCGGAUUGUUUGGGAAUGCAGUCCAAAAUGGGUGGUAAAUUUCAUCUAAAGCUAAAUAUUGGCGAGAGACCGAUAGCGAACAAGUACCGUGAGGGAAAGAUGAAAAGAACUUUGAAAAGAGAGUUAAACAGUACGUGAAAUUGUCAAAAGGGAAGCGUUUGACACCAGUGUUGUUUUUCUGAAAAUCAAUUAAAGAACUGUUUAUGCUAAGUUGUUUAGACUUUAUCAGCUAUCUGCUUAGUUUUGAGCUCUUCUUUAAUGCACUUUUCAGUUAACAAGUCAACAUCAAUUUCUUUUGCUGUAAAAAAGCUUGAGGAAGGUGGCUUGAGAUUCGUCUUAAGUGUUUAUAGCCUCUUGCCUAUGCAGUCGGAGAGAUUGAGGUCUGCAGCGUAGAUCCUUCGGGGCUAAAUGCAUUUGUGCUAAGUUAUAGCAUUUUAUAGACAACUUGUUGACUAUGAUUUGUCUUGUAGCUUACUCGCUUAUGUUAUUUUACCUACGCUUAGGAUGUUGAACUCUAUCACACACAG
rnacentral:rRNA from 1 species